rnacentral:misc_RNA from 1 species
GGGGAAACUCCGGUUUCCCCUGUCUGAACCCUUGUCUUUUGCGUACUAUUUGUUUCCUUGGUGGGCUUGCCUGCCGAUAGGACAACCAUUAAACCUUUUGUAAUUGCAAUCAGCGUCAGAAAAAAAUUAAUAAUUACAACUUUCAACAACGGAUCUCUUGGUUCUGGCAUCGAUGAAGAACGCAGCGAAAUGCGAAAAGUAGUGUGAAUUGCAGAAUUCAGUGAAUCAUCGAAUCUUUGAACGCACAUUGCGCCCCUUGGUAUUCCAUGGGGCAUGCCUGUUCGAGCGUCAUUUGUACCUUCAAGCUCUGCUUGGUGAUGGGUGUUUGUCCCGCUUUUUGCGUGGACUCGCCUCAAAGCAAUUGGCAGCCGGCGUACUAGCCUGGGAGCGCAGCACAUUUUGCGCAUCUUGUCUUGAACGCUUGCGUCCAUUAAGCAUAUAUUUUAA